rnacentral:lncRNA from 1 species
UGCCAUGUGUUUUUGGGAAAUUCGGCCAAAUCCUUAGGGUGACUUUUUGGGUUCUGUUUGUCUUGUUAAAAUGGUUUUAAGGUGACUUUUGGAACCCUAAGUACCCUAGGAUAUUUGCCCUCUUUUAGGGUGAAAAAUUGAGUUUUGGUGAAUGAAAACAUCCAUGGGCUAUUAUGAGUUUCAUGGUGUUCUUCAAAUGUUCUUGAGUUCUUGCAAGACAAAAAGGUUUGAAGUUUUGAUUCAAAAGUUUUAUGUUUUUCAUAAGUUUUGGUUUAAUUUGAUGGGUGAUGGAUUGGUGAGCAUUAAAAUUGGCUUUAAUGUUUGUCUAAACUCAUUAAUGUUUUUACAAAAUUUUCUUCAAACAUCAAUUUCACUCACCCACCAAAUCCAUUGCUAUUGCACAUGCAUGCACUAAACCCUUUCACACUUGUUCACACCCCUUGGCCGGCCACCCCUCAAGUGGGGUACUUUUGGGGUUUUUUGUGCAAUUACAUAAAGUUUUUGAUAAUUUUGUGUUUUUUGCAUUUUGGCAAAGUUUACGUUUUUACGUUAAGUCCUAACGCUAAAGGACAAUUGUUUUGAUCCUUAAUGAUGUUUUUNCCACACAUGAACAUAUGCAUACAAUCGAUUUCCAAUUAUUCUUUCGACAAACCAUGAAUGACAAUGCCCAAAUUAAUUGUAUGGAAAAUUAAUUCUCAGAUUUCCCUAGAUUCAUUGAUGAGAUAACGCAUCACAACCAAGUAUCUUUAUCAAGUUCCUAAUAUGGAAUACGCAUGAAGAAACACUUAACAAAGAUUAUAAGUUCAAUGAAACCUAAGCAUUGAGAGGCAUUCAGACUAUGAAAGCAUUUAUCUUGCCUGGAUUUACUUAACACAAUCGUGACUAACGACUUUUACUACUCAUGAAUAUAAUUCAUAACGAUUAGGUGAAAUUCCCUUUACUCUAGCAUCAAAUGUUGAAGUAUGCCACAGCCACUCAUUUGAUGUAAUAGCUUUUUUGGAAUACUUAUUAUUCAACUUUUAUAUGUUUAAUGAAGGCAAAGCUUAUUGUACACUAUUAUUGUAUUCAUGUGUUUAAGCAAUAGGGAAUCCAAGGAAUGUAUUUGUUCUAGAGAGAAUGAUCUAAUGAGUUAGAUUAUCGAGACCUCUCUUAUGUUCAUUCCUAAACGUUCUAGCCAUAGGAUUGCCAAUUGGCAUUGACAAUCCGCUAAGGUUAGUAUGUGUUAUGUUGACUCAAACGUGAUAUGAACUAGUCUCAAGUCAUUUGGUGUUGGACACUGAGACAAACACAUAGGUGCUCGAAGAGAUAAUCGAGUACACUGAACGUCGAUCAAAAGAGAGUUCGAACAUACAUUCAUGUAUGAACUCUAAAGUGCAAUAUGCAAAGUAGUCCUUUGACCUGAGGCAUCAUAGAUGUCUAAUGUUAGGUCAUUGAUCUUUGAUCAUGUCAAUGGCAUUCUUCGGAUUGUCCACGGCAUUGUUGGGGUCAAAGCUAUCUAGUCAUGUAGGCAUAUGAAUGCACAACAAGGAUCUCUAACCUUCCAUGGUGGAAGGAGAAUACUCUAAGAUAUGAUCUAAAGUCUUUGGCCAAAGCAUAUGAAUAUGACUUAGGAAGUUUGUUCAAAUCAUAUUCAAGGAAUCAUAUAGGAAGUAUCACAUUGGAUAGAAACAUGAAACAAACUAUCACUUAAACAAUGUGAUAAGAGUAUUGUAUUAGAGAAGACGUAUUGCAUUGUAGUUGUAACUGGAUAGGUUCUCCACCAAUUCUACUUAGCUUGGGUAACCAUGAUAUGCUGGCUAGGUGUCACUCAUGGUUUGUGGAAGCCCUGAAGAUUAGCAAACACUAAUCUUAAGGAGAAUUGAAAUUGUUUCAAUUCACAAUCGAUCGAUAAGAGUAACAUCGCCACUGCCUCGCUAUUGGAACCUAAGGGAUCGCACACCACAUAAGGUGUUAGGAAGAAUUAUAGAAUGGAUAAGCAAUUAAAUGGUUUAUUGAAGAAUGGUCAAGAUUAAUUAAUUAGUUAAUUAAUUAUACGAAAGGUUCGUAUUGGCUAUAGUUGGUUUUGGGUUUGGCCCAAAAGUGUUUUGGUCCACAAGGCCAUUAUGUUUAAGUUGUAUGAAACUAAAACAAAAUGGGCAAUUAGCCAAUAACAAGAGAGCCGGCAUUAGGUGAAUGGGCAACUUGCUUAAUACAAGUUUUGCCACUCCAAAGAAAAUGUUAUAAAGGAACUUUAUAGCAAUUUUCUCAUUAGGGUUUUCUAAUAGAAAUUGGGUGAAACAUUUUUCUCUCUUUUUCUACAUAGAGCCGGCCACUUAGAGGAUUUUACUAGCAUCUAAAAUCUCUCUAAGUCAUCCAUAUCAUCUUCACAAUAUACAACCUUGGUGAAGAGACUUAGAGACAUCAAGCUUUUGAUGUUUUUGGAGAACAAAUCCUUUUUUCCUCUAAUCAUCAAGGAGCACUAAAGGAGGAAAACAAGGAGGAUUCAAGGAGCUUGGAGGUGACUUGAAGGCCCUCCACUUGGGUGAAUCCCUUGUGUAAACAAGGAUGAGCUUCAAGGGUAAAGAAUCACUAAAUCUUUACUUCUCUUUAAUUUUGUUAAAGAGUUUUUUUGGUUCACCAUAUACUAGGCUUUGAAAGUCAUGGGUUUUAUGAAUUGUUUUUGGAUGCAUGCCUACUUUAAAGUGUUGAUAGCUUGCAUGUGUUUCAAAUGUUUCAUACUUGUUCUUAGCUAGGACAAAUUUUUCCUUCAAGUGGUAUCAGAGCCUAGGCCUAGUUUAUGGUGACUCCUUUUGGGUUUUGUGAUGUUCAUAUUUUGUGAUUUAAUUGUUGUAAAUGUUACAAGCUUUUCUUGCUUUUGAAAUAUAUAAAUUUUGCUAGAAAAUUUAGCAUCUCAAAUGUUGUAGAUGUAUUUCAUUUAAGCAUGAAUAUUGGAACUAAAAUUUGGUGCCAUGUGUUUUGGGAAAUUCGGCCAAAUCCUUAGGGUGACUUUUUGGGUUCAUGUUUGUCUUGUUAAAAUGGUUUUUAAGGUGACUUUUGGAACCCCUAAGUACCCUAGGAUAUUUGCCCUCUUUUGAGAGGUGAAAAAUUGAGUUUUGGUGAAUGAAAACAUCCAUGGGGCUAUUAUGAGUUUUCAUGGUGUUCUUCAAAUGUUCUUGAAGUUCUUGCCAAGAACAAAAAGGUUUGAAGUUUUGAUUCAAAAGUUUUUAUGUUUUUCAUAAAGUUUUGGUUUAAUUUUGAUGGGUGAUGGAUAUUGGUGAAGCAUUAAAAUUGGCUUUAAUGUUUGUCUAAACUCAUUAAUGUUUUUACAAAACAUUUUCUUACAAACCAUCCAAUUCACCUCACCCACAAAAUCCACUUGCAUAUUGCACAUGCAUGCACUAAAACCCUUUCACACUUGUUCACCACACUCCCUUGGCCGGCACCCUCAAAGUGGGGUACUUUUGGGGUUUUUUGUGCAAUUACAUAAAGUUUUGAUAAUUUUGUGUUUUUGCAUUUUGGCCCAAAAGUUUACGUUUUUACGUUAAGGUCCUAAAACGCUAAAGGACGAAUUGUUUUGAUCCUUUAAUGAUGUUUUUACAUUAAUAAAAUUUUGGGAUCUAGUUGUAUUUACAUGAAGUUGUGGACUAUUGUGUUUAUACAAAGUGACUUUACAUUAUGGCCCAAUUGUUGUGGUCAUAGUUUCCUUUUGGCCCAAAUAAAAUGAGAACAAAAUUGUUUUGUCUCUUUAAUGAGAAUAGGAUUUUCAUUCUAUUUAGUUCCAUUUAAAUCAAUUCUAUGGAUCCAAAAACCAAUUGUUUAAAGUUGUUUUCUUAGUUAAUGUGAUUGAUUAAGAAAAGGGUGAUUAUGAACCAAAGGCCACGAUAAUUGAGCUAUGUGAUUGGCCGAUAUACAUUAUGAAUGUUUGGGUUUUAGUAGUAUAGAUUUGAAUGUAAUUUGAUUAAUUCAAUUUGUUGUAAAUGGACAUAAGUCCAUCAUUUGAUUUGUGUUGUAAAAGGGCAUAAGCCCUUAUUAUUAUUUCAUGUAUUCCUUUUGUUUAUAUGUAUGCAAAAUUGAAUAGUUGGGUCCAACGCCCAAUAGGAAAUAACGGUUUAAUUGGAUUAAACGCGUAACUAAAAUCAACA